rnacentral:rRNA from 1 species
UACAGAGGGGGCAAGCGUUGUUCGGAAUUACUGGGCGUAAAGGGCGCGUAGGCGGCCUUCUAAGUCGAACGUGAAAUCCCCGGGCUCAACCCGGGAACUGCGUCCGAUACUGGAAGGCUUGAAUCCGGGAGAGGGAUGCGGAAUUCCAGGUGUAGCGGUGAAAUGCGUAGAUAUCUGGAGGAAUACCGAUGGCGAAGGCAGGUCUCUGGGCUGAAACUGACGCUCAUGCACGAAAGCGUGGGGAGCAAACAGG